GUGGAAGCACAUUUCUUGUGUGACCGCGUACUUUUUGUAGAACGGGCCAACGAGUUACGUUAAGUAGCAAGGUUAAGCACUUAAGGUGUGGAGCCGUAGCGAAAGCGAGUUUUAACUGAGCGUUCAGUUACUUGACGUAGACCCGAAACCGGGCGACCUACCCAUGAGCAGGAUGAAGCGAAAGUAAAAUUUCGUGGAGGUCCGAACCCACGAGCG
rnacentral:rRNA from 1 species